rnacentral:rRNA from 1 species
GACGAACGCUGGCGGCGUGCUUAACACAUGCAAGUCGAACGGAAAGGCCCUGCUUUUGUGGGGUGCUCGAGUGGCGAACGGGUGAGUAACACGUGAGUAACCUGCCCUUGACUUUGGGAUAACUUCAGGAAACUGGGGCUAAUACCGGAUAGGAGCUCCUGCUGCAUGGUGGGGGUUGGAAAGUUUCGGCGGUUGGGGAUGGACUCGCGGCUUAUCAGCUUGUUGGUGGGGUAGUGGCUUACCAAGGCUUUGACGGGUAGCCGGCCUGAGAGGGUGACCGGCCACAUUGGGACUGAGAUACGGCCCAGACUCCUACGGGAGGCAGCAGUGGGGAAUAUUGCACAAUGGGCGGAAGACUGAUGCAGCAACGCCGCGUGCGGGAUGACGGCCUUCGGGUUGUAACCCGCUUUCGCCUGUGACGAGGCGUGAGUGACGGUAAUGGGUAAAGAAGCACCGGCUAACUACGUG